GUGUCAGCCGCCGCGGUAAUACGGAGGGUGCGAGCGUUGUUCGGAAUUAUUGGGCGUAAAGCGCGUGUAGGCGGUUUGUUAAGUCUGAUGUGAAAGCCCCGGGCUCAACCUGGGAAGUGCAUUGGAUACUGGCGGACUUGAAUACGGGAGAGGGCAGUGGAAUUCCUGGUGUAGGAGUGAAAUCCGUAGAUAUCAGGAGGAACACCGGUGGCGAAGGCGGCUGCCUGGACCGAUAUUGACGCUGAGACGCGAAAGCGUGGGUAGCAAACAGGAUUAGAUACCCGAGUAGUCC
rnacentral:rRNA from 1 species